rnacentral:lncRNA from 1 species
CUUUGCUUCUUCUAGUGCUAAACUAAACCUUCGAAGCUGUUUCGGAGAGCAAGUUCCGUCGUCCUUGACCAUAAGCUGCGACGGUUUUACGUCGAAGAAGAUAGGAACGACUCUUUUUUUUGUCUCCAUCAGAAGAGCGAGUUCGUGGAGACAAUAAUAAGAGUCACAAUAACGAGGAGAGAACACGGUAACACCAACCUUACAACCAAUAAUUGCUUUAUCGAUAUGAUGAAAUAGUUUGUCUCCUGGUUUCAUGUUCAUACUGUCCAAAAACGAUCUCACUCCCAUGUUUGUUAAAUCUUUGUAUAAUAACCCUGCAACGUUCUUCUUUGUGUCUAUCCCACGGUGGUUUAUGAAAACUUGACAUGUUGGUUGAACAAUUUUGCGGUAGAAACGUUGCAUGGCUUCUUCUAUAAGCUUUGUUAGUUUCUUAAUUAUGUUUGUGUUUUGUAUUUUGCGGUAUAUAUAGCAAUAGAUUGAUUUUGUGUAAUUUUGGUGAAAAUGCGUUUGCAUAAGUGGCAUCCAAGAAAAUACUGGGAAAUUUAACGACGAAAACCAAAGAAAAAAAGUGCAUGUGUUUGAAUUUUCUGACUUUCAAGGAGUAGUUCAUAUCUUUGGGUAUUGUCCUUCUUACACGUACACACAUGACCGUACCUUUCUUUUUGGAAGUAUAUGUGUGUCCAUAAGCUUACACUAUUUUGUUAGUUAAAUUUGUUUAAUGGGGGUAUUAGCAAUUCAAAUCCGUUGAAAAUGCAUUUUCCCAUCAAAUUUUGGGGGGAAAUUAACGGGUUCCUUCCCCGAGGUCCCAAUUUAGUGGGAAG